rnacentral:rRNA from 1 species
CACGUAGGGCGCAAGCGUUGUCCGGAAUUAUUGGGCGUAAAGAGCUCGUAGGCGGUCUGUUACGUCUGCUAUGAAAACCCAGGGCUUAACCCUGGGCUUGCAGUGGAUACGGGCAGACUAGAGGCAGGUAGGGGAGAAUGGAAUUCCCGGUGUAGCGGUGAAAUGCGCAGAUAUCGGGAGGAACACCGGUGGCGAAGGCGGUUCUCUGGGCCUGACCUGACGCUGAGGAGCGAAAGCGUGGGGAGCGAACAGG